rnacentral:rRNA from 1 species
AGCAACAGGGUAUUGCCCCAGUAACGGCGAGUGAAGCGGCAGGAGCUCAAAUUUGAAAUCUGGGGCCCCCGGCCUCCGAGUUGUAAUUUGGAGAGGCUCCUUCGGGGGGGAGCGCUGGCCCAUGUUCCUUGGAACAGGACGUCGCAGAGGGUGAGAAUCCCGUGCCAGGCCGGCUGCCUCCUCCCGCGUGAAGGGCCUUCGACGAGUCGAGUUGUUUGGGAAUGCAGCUCCAAGUGGGUGGUAAAUUUCAUCUAAAGCUAAAUACCGGCGGGAGACCGAUAGCGCACAAGUAGAGUGAUCGAAAGAUGAAAAGCACUUUGAAAAUAGAGUCAAAAAGUACGUGAAAUUGUUGAAAGGGAAGCGCUUGAGACCAGACUCAGACCCAGGCAAACACCGCGCCCCCAGGGGCCGUGCAAUUGCCCGGUGCUGGGCCAGCAUCAGUUGGCGUGGCGGGACAAGGGCGCGGGAAAUGUGGCUCCCCUCGGGGAGUGUUAUCAGGCCCGCGCCGGAUGCCGCCGACGCCGACUGAGGACCGCGCCUCGGCUAGGAUGCUGGCUUAAUGGCCUUCAGCGACCCGUCUUGAAACACGGACCAAGGAGUCUAACAUCUAUGCGAGUGUUUGGGCGCCAAACCCUUGCGCGGAAUGAAAGUGAGCGGAGGUGGGAACCCCUCGCCGGGCGCACCAUCGACCGAUCCUGAUGUCUUCGGAUGGAUUUGAGUAGGAGCAUAGCUGUUGGGACCCGAAAGAUGGUGAACUAUGCCUGAAUAGGGUGAAGCCAGAGGAAACUCUGGUGGAGGCUCGCAGCGGUUCUGACGUGCAAAUCGAUCGUCAAAUUUGGGUAUAGGGGCGAAAGACUAAUCGAACCAUCUAGUAGCUGGUCCUGCCGAG